AGAGAAAGAAGAUUUAACUAAGAUUGCAUUGUAGAAUGACAAGCAAAGAGUCUGCAUGGUUAGCACUGGAAGGGACCAUCAAGCCAUCAGCAAGUCCCAAAAUGUUUGUACCCUGGAAUCCACUUGAGGAGCUUCCAAAAUGACUGAUGCUUGCUUGUAUCCCCCAGAGAUUGUGUUGUAAUUGGUUUGAAGUGUGACUUGAGUGUUUACUUUAAAACAUUCCCUGGGUAAUUCUAGGGGAAACAACUUGGGAACCACCAGUCUAAAACAGGAAUUGGCGAAUUAUGGCUUGGGGGGCCAAAUCUGGUCCGUUGCCUGUCUGUCUUUGGAUAACCUGCAAACUAGGAGUGGUUUUUACAAUUCCAAAUGGUUGAAAAAACAGAGCCCAGGGAGAAUAUUACUUGAUGACAGCUCUCUCUAAUCAGUGGUCCUACAAGACUAGCUCCUACGGAAAAGGACAGUGUGGUAACUGAUUUUAUGGUCACUAUGUUUGAUUGUCUACUAGCAUGUCAGGUCAGACACUUAAUGUUUAAAAGAUGAGUAAAAGCAACCUACCCACAUCCUUGCUUUUUCUUCGCAAAAACAGAAGCAUAAUUGAGUAUGAGAAGAAAGAACAAUAGCUCUUGCAAAGCUUUUGCAAAGUGAAAGGAGAGGAAGGAAUUUUCCAGUGUGUUUCUUUUCAGAUAGUCUUGUGUGUACAUGUGCGGUUUAGCUGCAGCAGUGCUGGAAAGCAUAGUUCUCUAUGACAAAAGCAUUACUGUGGAUUUGUCUAGCUUCUCCCGGUGGAGGGGGGAGGGGUAGUAGAUGGGUCGUCUUGAGAAAGUUAAAUUUAUGGUGGCCUAUAUUUGUUUCCUCUCAUUUGUAUGAAUGAAUUACCGGAACAGGCAUGCAGUGUAUUUGGCUUUGAACUGUAUAGGCAGUGAAGUCAUCCAAGCUGGGUGACAGGCUAACAGCCAUGUGUUCAGUCAUGUGGAUUGAAUGGAUUGCAUAGUUAGUUAAAUGCCCCUGGAAACAUUGCACGUUAGUUGACUGCUUCAAAGCCUCUUCUUUAUUCCAUGGCACCCUUCCAUCUAUAACACUCCUUAUAAAAACUCUGAAAAUAACAAUACAAUCCAGCUAUAAUCAGUGAUCUAUUCAGUAUUUAAUUCAUACCUGUAGACCUAAUCAGAUGUAGUAUGUGCUCAUACUGGUGUACAGAUGCAUACACUGAAAUGCAAAUAGGCUUAAGGAUUUGGUCAAAGGAAAAAGCCAAAACAGAAGUCUUCCCAUUAUACAGCUAUGUACACAGUGCCCCUUCUCUCAGAUGCUUCAUUAUUUUAAUUCCAAAGUUCUCAGCGACCUUGCAAAUAAAUAAAGCCUAUUGAAUCCAAAUUGAAUCAUCAACUUAUGUGCAGUCAAAUGAGCAUGUGACAUCAGUCUAUAAAUAAGUGACUGGCAUUAGUGGAUACAAUAAAACUGGUAGGUUCAAAUAUGCUUAAAAACCUA